rnacentral:rRNA from 1 species
AGCGAACGCUGGCGGCAGGCCUAACACAUGCAAGUCGAACGAUCCUUCGGGAUAGUGGCGGACGGGUGAGUAACACGUGGGAACGUGCCCUUUGGUUCGGAAUAACUCAGGGAAACUUGAGCUAAUACCGGAUGUGCCCUUCGGGGGAAAGAUUUAUCGCCAUUGGAGCGGCCCGCGUUGGAUUAGCUAGUUGGGGGGGUAAAGGCCCACCAAGGCUAGCAUCCAUAGCUUGUCUGCGAGGAUGAUCAGCCACACUGGGACUGAGACACGGCCCAGACUCCUACGGGAGGCAGCAGUGUGGAAUCUUGCGCGAUGGGCGAAAGCCUGACGCAGCCAUGCCGCGUGAAUGAUGAAGGUCUUAGGAUUGUAAAAUUCUUUCACCGGGGACGAUAAUGACGGUACCCGGAGAAGAAGCCCCGGCUAACUUCGUGCCAGCCGCCGCCGUAAGAC